GACGAACGCUGGCGGCAUGCCUAAUACAUGCGAGUCGAGCGAACAGAUGAAGUGCUUGCACUUCUGACGUUAGCGGCGAACGGGUGAGUAACACGUAAGGAAUCUACCUAUAAGCGGGGGAUAACAUUCGGAAACGGGUGCUAAUACCGCAUAAUAUCUUCUUCCGCAUGGAAGAAGAUUGAAAGACGGCUCUGCUGUCACUUAUAGAUGACCUUGCGGUGCAUUAGUUAGUUGGUGGGGUAACGGCCUACCAAGACGAUGAUGCAUAGCCGACCUGAGAGGGUGAUCGGCCACAUUGGGACUGAGACACGGCCCAAACUCCUACGGGAGGCAGCAGUAGGGAAUCUUCCGCAAUGGGCGAAAGCCUGACGGAGCAAUGCCGCGUGAGUGAAGAAGGCCUUCGGGUCGUAAAACUCUGUUAUAAGAGAAGAACAAAUUGUAGAGUAACUGCUACAGUCUUGACGGUAUCUUAUCAGAAAGCCACGGCUAACUACGUG
rnacentral:rRNA from 1 species